AUUGAACGCUGGCGGCAGGCUUAACACAUGCAAGUCGAGCGGGGUGAUGGUGCUUGCACUAUCACUUAGCGGCGGACGGGUGAGUAAUGCUUAGGAAUCUGCCUAUUAGUGGGGGACACCAUCUCGAAAGGGAUGCUAAUACCGCAUACGUCCUACGGGAGAAAGCAGGGGAUCACUUGUGACUUUGCGCUAAUAGCUGAGCCUAAGUCCGAUUAGCUAGUUGGCGGGGUAACGGCCCACCAAGGCUUCGAUCGGUAGCCGGCCUGAAAGGGCGGACGGCCACACUGGGACUGAGACACGGCCCAGACUCCUACGGGAGGCGGCAGUGGGGAAUUUUUCGCAAUGGGGGAAACCCUGACGAAGCAACGCCGCGUGGAGGAUGAAGGCCUUCGGGUCGUAAACUCCUGUCGACCGGGAGGAAUGCACCUGACCUAGUACGUCGGCGUGUUGACUGUACCGGUGGAGGAAGCCACGGCUAACUCUGUGCCAGCCGCCGCGGUAA
rnacentral:rRNA from 1 species